GAUGAACGCUAGCGGCAGGCCUAACACAUGCAAGUCGAGGGGCAGCACAGAAACAGCAAUGUUUUGGUGGCGACCGGCGGACGGGUGCGUAACGCGUAUGCAACCUACCUUUAACAGGGGGAUAACGGAGAGAAAUUUCCACUAAUACCCCAUAACAUCGAUCAAGGCAUCUUGAUUGGUUGAAAACUCCGGUGGUUAAAGAUGGGCAUGCGUUGUAUUAGGUAGUUGGUGAGGUAAUGGCUCACCAAGCCUACGAUACAUAGGGGGACUGAGAGGUUAGCCCCCCACACUGGAACUGAGAAACGGACCAGACUCCUACGGGAGGCAGCAGUGAGGAAUAUUGGUCAAUGGGGCAACCCUGAACCAGCCAUGCCGCGUGCAGGAAGACGGCUCUAUGAGUUGUAAACUGCUUUUAAACAGGGAUAAAGCACAGUAUGUAUACUGUGUUGAAGGUACUGUAAGAAUAAGGAUCGGCUAACUCCGUGCCAGCCGCCGCCGUAA
rnacentral:rRNA from 1 species